AUUGAACGCUGGCGGCAUGCCUAACACAUGCAAGUCGAACGAGUGGCGGACGGGUGAGUAAUGUCUGGGAAACUGCCCGCUGGAGGGGGAUAACUUCUGGAAACGGUAGCUAAUACCGCAUACCAUCAGAUGUGCCCAGAUGGGAUUAGCUAGUGGGUGAGGUAACGGCUCACCUAGGCGACGAUCCCUAGCUGGUCUGAGAGGCUGACCGGCCACACGGGAACUGAGACACGGUCCAGACUCCUACGGGAGGCGGCAGUGGGGAAUAUUGGACAAUGGGCGCAAGCCUGAUGCAGCCAGGCGGCGUGUAUGAAGAAGGCCUUCGGGUUGUAAAGUACGUUCAUCGGGGAGGCGUUACCCGCAGAAGAAGCAACGGCUAACUCCGUGCCAGCAGCCGCGGUAAUUC
rnacentral:rRNA from 1 species